GAUGAACGCUGGCGGCGUGCCUAAUACAUGCAAGUCGAGCGAACGGACGAGAAGCUUGCUUCUCUGAUGUUAGCGGCGGACGGGUGAGUAACACGUGGAUAACCUACCUAUAAGACUGGGAUAACUUCGGGAAACCGGAGCUAAUACCGGAUAAUAUUUUGAACCGCAUGGUUCAAAAGUGAAAGACGGUCUUGCUGUCACUUAUAGAUGGAUCCGCGCUGCAUUAGAUAGUUGGUAAGGUAACGGCUUACCAAGGCAACGAUGCAUAGCCGACCUGAGAGACGGAUAGGCGACACGGGAACUGGGACAGCGUCAAGACUACUACGGUACGCCGCAGUAGGGUAUCUGCCGCAGUGGGCGAAAGCAUGACGGAGCAGCGCCGAGUGAGUGAUGGAGGUCUCCGGAUCGUAAAACUCUGCUAUUAGGGAAAAACAUAUGUCUAAGUAACUGAGCAGAGCUUGACGGUACCUAAUAAGGAAGCCACGGCUAACUACGUG
rnacentral:rRNA from 1 species